CCUUUCUCUCAGUCUCCCUCUCUCUCUCUCUCUGUCUCCCUCUCUCUCUGUCUCCCUCUCUAGCCCUCCCCUAUUCUCUCUCUGUCUCCCUCUCUCCUCUCUCUCUGUCUCCCUCUCCUCUGUAGGCUGACUACAUACAGUACUCCAGCAUCAGAAAAGCCUGCCAACUCUCUGUUCUGACACACACACUUCCUCUUUGUCUCAACCGAUUUGUCUGUCUGAUCCCUAACUGUAACUGUGAUGAUCGUGAAGGUAGACUGUCUGAUCCCUGACUGUGAUCGUGAAGGUAGACCCCUGUCUGAUCCCUGACUGUGAUCGUGAAGGUAGACUGUCUGAUCCCUGACUGUGAUCGUGAAGGUAGACCCCUGUCUGAUCCCUGACUGUGAUCGUGAAGGUAGACUGUCUGAUCCCUGACUGUGAUCGUGAAGGUAGACCCCUGUCUGUGAUCGUGAAGGUAGACUCUGUCUGAUCCCUGACUGUGAUCGUGAAGGUAGACCCCUGUCUGAUCCCUGACUGUGAUUGUCACCGUGAAGGUAGACUCUAUCUGAUCCCUGACUGUGAUCGUGAAGGUAGACUCUGUCUGAUCCCUGACUGUGAUCGUGAAGGUAGAAAAGCAAACAAGCAUCCUGUGCAUAAAAACAACAACUGGUCAAUGAGGAGGAGAUGAUGGCGGUACUGUUGGGUUAUUUCUGUGAGGGGGCUGAGACGUGGGAAGGAGAGUGUCUGUCUGUGGGAAGAGACUUACAGAAAAGCUGAUUUACAAAACAGAUCAUUUCCAUGACUCUUUAAGACAUUGUGGAGAUCAUUUCCAUGACUCUUUAAGACAUUGUGGAAAUUGUACCAUAUUGUAUUUAUUUCAUUUAUAAAAUUAUAUUUUUCUUUCAAGUUCUGUAUAUAUUGCCAUUAAAGAUCAUUAUUGCCAUGGG